rnacentral:rRNA from 1 species
UACGUAGGGUGCGAGCGUUGUCCGGAAUUAUUGGGCGUAAAGAGCUCGUAGGCGGUUUGUCGCGUCUGCCGUGAAAGUCCGGGGCUCAACUCCGGAUCUGCGGUGGGUACGGGCAGACUAGAGUGAUGUAGGGGAGACUGGAAUUCCUGGUGUAGCGGUGAAAUGCGCAGAUAUCAGGAGGAACACCGGUGGCGAAGGCGGAUCUCUGGGCCAUAACUGACGCUGAGGAGCGAAAGCAUGGGGAGCGAAACAGG